UACGAAGGGGGCUAGCGUUGUUCGGAAUUACUGGGCGUAAAGCGCACGUAGGCGGCUAUUCAAGUCAGAGGUGAAAGCCCGGGGCUCAACCCCGGAACUGCCUUUGAGACUGCAUCGCUUGAACAUCGGAGAGGUAAGUGGAAUUCCGAGUGUAGAGGUGAAAUUCGUAGAUAUUCGGAAGAACACCAGUGGCGAAGGCGACUUACUGGACGAUUGUUGACGCUGAGGUGCGAAAGCGUGGGGAGCAAACAGG
rnacentral:rRNA from 1 species